AAAGAGUCACUAAAAAAAGCUUCUAACUUUUAAUAAAGCAUUAACAUGUUUAU
rnacentral:tRNA from 1 species